rfam:Mustela putorius furo unplaced genomic scaffold scaffold00179, whole genome shotgun sequence.
ACCUGGCUGGCCGAGUUGGUAGAGCAUGAGACUAUUGAUCUUGGGGUUGUAAGUUUGAGCCCUAUGUUGGGUG